AGAGUUUGAUCCUGGCUCAGACGAACGCUGGCGGCGUGCCUAACACAUGCAAGUCUACUCAGCAAUGGGUGGCGAACGGGUGAGUAACGCGUAGACAAUCUGCCCUUUAAUCACGGAUAACCUAGUGAAAACUGGACUAAUACGGGAUGUGGUCGCGAUAUGGCAUCAUAUGCGAUCAAAGACAUAGUCGUUAAAGGAGGAGUCUGCGUAACAUUAGCUAGUUGGUAAGGUAACGGCUUACCAAGGCGACGAUGUUUAGCUGGUCUGAGAGGAUGAUCAGCCACACUGGGACUGAGAUACGGCCCAGACUCCUACGGGAGGCAGCAGUGAGGAAUAUUGCACAAUGGGGGCAACCCUGAUGCAGCAACGCCGCGUGUACGAUGACACAGUUUAUCUGCGUAAAGUACUGUUAACCGGGACGAAAAGAUGCAUGGACUGCAUUAAUAUGACGGUACCGGUAGAGGAAGCUCCGGCUAACUCCGUGCCAGCAGCCGCGGUAAUACGGGGGGAGCUAGCGUUGUCCGGAUUUAUUGGGCGUAAAGGGCAUGUAGGUGGGACUUUAAGUCAGUUGUUAAAUAUUACGGCUUAACUGUAUUAUGCAAUUGAUACUGGAGUUCUUGAGUAUGAGAGGGGACAGAGGAAUACCUGGUGUAGCGGUGGAAUGCGUAGAUAUUAGGUAGAACACCUGAGGCGAAGGCGUCUGUCUGGCUCAUUACUGACACUGAAAUGCGAAAGUAUGGGGAGCAAACAGGAUUAGAUACCCUGGUAGUCCAUACUGUAAACGAUGGGUACUAGGUGUCGGGAGGACUAGCCCUCUCGGUGCCGCAGCAAACGCGUUAAGUACCCCGCCUGGGGAAUACGAUCGCAAGGUUGAAACUCAAAUGAAUUGACGG
rnacentral:rRNA from 1 species